rnacentral:rRNA from 1 species
GGUUGACCUCGGAUCAGGUAGGAGUUACCCGCUGAACUUAAGCAUAUCAAUAAGCGGAGGAAAAGAAACCAACAGGGAUUGCCUCAGUAACGGCGAGUGAAGCGGCAAGAGCUCAAAUUUGAAAUCUGGCCUCUUGGGGUCCGAGUUGUAAUUUGCAGAGGAUGCUUCGGGAGCGGUCCCCAUCUAAGUGCCCUGGAACGGGACGUCAUAGAGGGUGAGAAU